rnacentral:rRNA from 1 species
AACGAUGUCAACUAGCCGUUGGGGUCUUUAAGACUUUAGUGGCGUAGCUAACGCGAUAAGUUGACCGCCUGGGGAGUACGGUCGCAAGACUAAAACUCAAAUGAAUUGACGGGGGCCCGCACAAGCGGUGGAGCAUGUGGUUUAAUUCGAUGCAACGCGAAGAACCUUACCUGGCCUUGACAUGUCUGGAAUCUUGUAGAGAUACGAGAGUGCCUUCGGGAAUCAGAACACAGGUGCUGCAUGGCUGUCGUCAGCUCGUGUCGUGAGAUGUUGGGUUAAGUCCCGCAACGAGCGCAACCCUUAUCCUUAUUUGCCAGCACGUAAUGGUGGGAACUCUAAGGAGACUGCCGGUGACAAACCGGAGGAAGGCGGGGGACGACGUCAAGUCAUCAUGGCCCUUACGGCCAGGGCUACACACGUGCUACAAUGGUCGGUACAAAGGGUUGCUAACCUGCGAAGGGGUGCUAAUCUCAAAAAGCCGAUCGUAGUCCAGAUUGGAGUCUGCAACUCGACUCCAUGAAGUCGG